rnacentral:snRNA from 1 species
CUCGCUUCUCAGCUUUUGACUAAGAUCAAGUGUAGCAUCUGUUCUUGUCAGUUUAAUAUCUGAUACAUCCUCAAUGAGAGGACUUUAUAUUAAAUGGCAUUUUGGGCUUGGGAGUCAGACCCGGAGUAUUAAAUUUGAGGGUCCGAUAUGCCGGCCGGACCCUGCUCUU